CCCCGCCCCGCGCGGGAAUCCGGCCGCACGACCGGCCCCCUGCAGGGCCGCGCCGGGCCACCCCUACCCCUGCCUGGUGCCGCCCCCCGCGGCGCUGACUGGGAGUCGUCGCGGUCGGGUUCCCCAUCCCUCCUUACCUCGUAUACCGACAGGCCGGGGUUUCGCCUCUGCUCCUGUUCCUCGAGCAGCCUUCAGGCAGUGGAAACGAUGGAGGAAUGGGCAUUCUGAAGGCGCCUGGUAAAUCGCAAAGGCCUGGCUACUGCUGAAAGGCAGGCAUCUCCAGAGCACAGCCUCGGGCGUGAUUGGGUUAGAAUGGUUUUCCAAAAGCUUGCGAGGCUUGAUCAUCCUUGCUUUAGUCGGCAAGGAAGUGGGCUCAAAGAGGUUAUCGCAACAUAGGAGGUGCGCCCGACCCGUAAGCGGAGAAACCGGAACUCGACCUGGAUCUCUGGACUGCCAACUUCAGGCCCUUUCCAGCCUCAGUAUUUGCUUACCAGAAGUUUUCAGGCUCUCAGACUUCGGGUUGCCCUGUGCUCUCUACUUCUCUGUACUCCCAUUGGCCUAUCAGCGACCACCAGAGGACAAUGGGAAAGGCCCUUUGCUAAAGACAGGGCACAAAACUCAAUGAGACCCCUUAAGUUGCAGCGAAAAAGAAACAGAAGAGGCUGAACUCAGAGCCAACCUGCUGCCUCCCACACAAUGUAAUUGAUUCUUGAGGCCGCCAUUUGGAAGUGGAGCUCCCUACAGUCUGAGCAGCAGAAUGUGGGGAAGGGCAUUUUAUUUUAUUUAUGUUUUAACCAUCAAUGUAUCUUUAAUUCGCAAAUAAAAGCUGUAGCAAAAUGUCAUC